CCUACGGGAGGCAGCAGUGGGGAAUAUUGGACAAUGGGGGCAACCCUGAUCCAGCCAUGCCGCGUGUGUGAAGAAGGCCCUCGGGUUGUAAAGCACUUUCAGUGAGGAAGAACGCCUGGUGGUUAAUACCCAUCAGGAAAGACAUCACUCACAGAAGAAGCACCGGCUAACUCCGUGCCAGCAGCCGCGGUAAUACGGAGGGGGCGAGCGUUAAUCGGAAUUACUGGGCGUAAAGCGCGCGUAGGUGGCUUGAUAAGCCGGUUGUGAAAGCCCCGGGCUCAACCUGGGAACGGCAUCCGGAACUGUCAAGCUAGAGUGCAGGAGAGGAAGGUAGAAUUCCCGGUGUAGCGGUGAAAUGCGUAGAGAUCGGGAGGAAUACCAGUGGCGAAGGCGGCCUUCUGGACUGACACUGACACUGAGGUGCGAAAGCGUGGGUAGCAAACAGGAUUAGAUACCCGGGUAGUC
rnacentral:rRNA from 1 species